GACGAACGCUGGCGGCGUGCUUAACACAUGCAAGUCGAACGAUGAAGCCUUAGCUUGCUUUGGUGGAUUAGUGGCGAACGGGUGAGUAACACGUGAGCAACGUGCCCAGGACUCUGGAAUAACCGCGGGAAACCGUGGCUAAUACCGGAUAGGUGCCGAGGCCGCAUGGUCUUCGGUUGGAAAGUUUUUGCGGUUCUGGAUGGGCUCACGGCCUAUCAGCUUGUUGGUGGGGUAAUGGCUUACCAAGGCGUCGACGGGUAGCCGGCCUGAGAGGGUGACCGGCCACACUGGGACUGAGAUACGGCCCAGACUCCUACGGGAGGCAGCAGUGGGGAAUAUUGCACAAUGGGCGGAAGCCUGAUGCAGCAACGCCGCGUGGGGGAUGACGGCCUUCGGGUUGUAAACCUCUUUUAGUAGGGAAGAAGCGCAAGUGACGGUACCUGCAGAAAAAGCACCGGCUAACUACGUG
rnacentral:rRNA from 1 species